AGUCGAGCGGACCGACGGGAGCUUGCUCCCUUAGGUCAGCGGCGGACGGGUGAGUAACACGUGGGUAACCUGCCUGUAAGACUGGGAUAACUCCGGGAAACCGGGGCUAAUACCGGAUGCUUGAUUGAACCGCAUGGUUCCAAUCAUAAAAGGUGGCUUUCAGCUACCACUUACUGAUGGACCCGCGGCGCAUUAGCUAGUUGGUGAGGUAACGGCUCACCAAGGCGACGAUGCGUAGCCGACCUGAGAGGGUGAUCGGCCACACUGGGACUGAGACACGGCCCAGACUCCUACGGGAGGCAGCCGUAGGGACUCUUCCGGCAAAUUGGACGAAAGUCUGAACGGAGCAACGCCGGGUGAGUGAUGAAGUUUUUCGGAUCGUAAAACUCUGUUGUUAGGGAAGAACAAGUACCGUUCGAAUAGGGCGGCACCUUGACGGUACCUAACCAGAAAGCCACGGCUAACUACGUGCCAGCAGCCGCGGUAAUACGUAGGUGGCAAGCGUUGUCCGGAAUUAUUGGGCGUAAAGCGCGCGCAGGCGGUUUCUUAAGUCUGAUGUGAAAGCCCCCGGCUCAACCGGGGAGGGUCAUUGGAAACUGGGGAACUUGAGUGCAGAAGAGGAGAGUGGAAUUCCACGUGUAGCGGUGAAAUGCGUAGAGAUGUGGAGGAACACCAGUGGCGAAGGCGACUCUCUGGUCUGUAA
rnacentral:rRNA from 1 species